rnacentral:rRNA from 1 species
AUUUUUAUGGAGAGUUUGAUCCUGGCUCAGGAUGAACGCUGGCGGCGUGCCUAAUACAUGCAAGUCGAGCGAACAGACGAGGAGCUUGCUCCUC